rnacentral:rRNA from 1 species
CCCUCAGAGGGGACAACAGUUGGAAACGACUGCUAAUACCGCAUACGAUCUAAUCUCGGCAUCGAGGAUGGAUGAAAGGUGGCCUCUACAUGUAAGCUAUCACUGAAGGAGGGGAUUGCGUCUGAUUAGCUAGUUGGAGGGGUAACGGCCCACCAAGGCGAUGAUCAGUAGCCGGUCUGAGAGGAUGAACGGCCACAUUGGGACUGAGACACGGCCCAG